GGAGAGAUGGCCGAGUUGGCUGAAGGCGCUCGCCUGCUAAGCGAGUGUAGGGUUUAAAGCUCUACCGAGGGUUCGAAUCCCUCUCUCUCCGCCA
rnacentral:tRNA from 1 species